rnacentral:rRNA from 1 species
CACGUAGGCGGCAUGGCAAGUCAGAGGUGAAAGCCCUCGGCUCAACCGAGGAACUGCCUCUGAAACUGCCUUGCUUGAGUCCGGGAGAGGGGAGCGGAAUUCCCAGUGUAGCGGUGAAAUGCGUAGAUACUGGGAGGAACACCGGUGGCGAAGGCGGCUCCCUGGACCGGUACUGACGCUGAGGUGCGAAAGCGGUGGGUAGCAAACA